rnacentral:rRNA from 1 species
UACGUAGGGGGCUAGCGUUGUCCGGAUUUAUUGGGCGUAAAGAGCGUGUAGGCGGCCAGGUAGGUCUGCUGUGAAAACUCGAGGCUCAACCUCGAGACGUCGGCGGAAACCAUCUGGCUAGAGUCCGGAAGAGGAGAGUGGAAUUCCUGGUGUAGCGGUGAAAUGCGCAGAUAUCAGGAAGAACACCCGUAGCGAAGGCGGCACUCUGGGCCGAUACUGACACUGAGGAGCGAAAGCGUGGGGAGCGAACAGG